AACGAACGCUGGCGGCAUGCCUAACACAUGCAAGUCGAACGAGACCUUCGGGUCUAGUGGCGUACGGGUGCGUAACGCGUGGGAACCUGCCCUUAGGUUCGGAUUAACUCCCCGAAAGGGGUGCUAAUACCGGAUAAUGUCUUCGGACCAAAGAUUUAUCGCCUUUGGAUGGGCCCGCGUUGGAUUAGCUAGUUGGUAGGGUAAAAGCCUACCAAGGCGACGAUCCAUAGCUGGUCUGAGAGGAUGAUCAGCCACACUGGGACUGAGACACGGCCCAGACUCCUACGGGAGGCAGCAGUGGGGAAUAUUGGAACAUGGGCGAAAGCCUGAUCCAGCAAUGCCGCGUGAGUGAUGAAGGCCGUAGGGUUGUAAAGCUCUUUUAACCGGGAUGAUAAUGACAGUACCGGGAGAAUAAGCUCCGGCUAACUCCGUG
rnacentral:rRNA from 1 species